CACUAUAACGAGGUGAUAAAAUUAGUAAGUAGUGAGGGAUGCCAUGCCAGGUAUGACGGGAUGCGCCAUGACAAGUGUUAGUUAGUUUAGUUUAAUAUCUUUAUUAUGCACCCCAUACCCAUCCUGUGGGCGGUAGUCAAAGGAUUACAGAGGUACAUAAUUGGUCCAGGGACUGGGCCUCAAAGUUUUGAUAGCUGAGCAAGUUACAAAGGUGAUGAACUCACAAUUUGCAAAGGUAAUGAAGUCACAAUUUACAAAGGUAAUGAACUCCAGGUAGGUCUGGUCACAAUCAUGACAAGUUACAAAUGUAUUUACAGAUUACAGAGGUACGUAAUAGGUCCAGUGACUGGGCCCCCAAAGUUUUGAUAGCUGAACUAGGUACAAAAGUAAUGAACUCACAAGUUACAAAGGUAAUGAAUCCUGCAAGAAUGGUUACUUACGUUUAUACAUGGCUACAGUCAUGAACAAAUUAUAGAGUACUGAGCAAUUCACACUUCCACACCUGGUCACAAUUACAUGACGAGUGUUCGGGGGGAAAAAUACCCGACUACUCAAUCAACGCUCAUCGAGCUUAGGUCUUAAUAGAUCGAUAUCUAACAUGUGUAAAAUUAAGGAGACGUUAAAUCGUCUUGUGAAUUGUAGUGAAAUCAGCGAUAUUAACAUUAAGUUUAAGUAAUGAUUGAGGUGAUGGAAGCUGCCAUUCCCCGAGUGAGUGAGCACAUGUUAACCUCGCGUUUCCUGUCCCAAGGAUAAUGGAGUUUUUACGGAGUCACGACUUCUAAAUCGGGACAAACCAAGCGAUAUCAUAAUCCUGUUGGAAGAAGAUUCGUUUCAGCUGGUAGGAUAUCGAGAUCUGAAACAAGACAGACAAGGAAUGCGACCUCCUCACCCACAGUUAAGUGCCCUUUCUGGUUAUAGCAGACUGAUACUGGCCAGUUAGGUAUGUUAUAAUGGGACAGGUGUUGUGGGUGCUACAACGUCCUCCAGUGACCACCAGAGAAAAUUUGGUAAGUGUUGGUAUUAUACAAGUGUAUUCCCUGACGAAUAUGUGUGUGUGUAACCCACCCUACCUUUUCCUUCAGUCAAAUAUAAUCCAUACAGUUCACAACUAAUUAGUAGCACCGUACUUGUGGGUGCUAUCCACUUCUAUACUGGUCUAGGAUAGAUAUGGGUAAGAUUUGUGAAGUCGAAGGGACCACUUGCAGCGACCAGGUUUUCUCACACGUCUGCACGGGGUGACUACUGUUAUUGGAACUUAUUCGGUCCUAAGUUCCACAAGGUAAAUAAGCCAUAUGAAGGCCCUAACAUUUCAUGGAUAGACCGUCUGAGUUUUGCGGGCCCUCACAUCCACCCAAAACACAUACACACACCCAGGUUGGCGAAGGUGGUUGGAAAGUACAUCUUAAUUGAUAGAUUUACCCUUCAAAGAAAAUGUAGGUAGUUGAUGCUGUUAGUAAACUAAUAUUAGGAUUAUUGAGGCAACUGUAGGUAUUAAUAAUGUAAACCUAAGACCUUAGCGCAGGUAGGAAUAGGCCUUUAAUGUAGGCAAACACUAGGUUAUAUUAGCGAGGGAGAACUGGUAGCCCAAGCUUGAACGACGUGGCACAGGAUUUUGAGACGCGAGUGCCUCCUAAGACAAGACACCAACGUAACAACAAGUGCCGUGGGUCUUUGUGCAGUCGGACGCCCGAAGACCAGAAUUUGGUUCCCGGCUGCACGUGGUGACUUGAAGGGGAAAAUCCAGAGGGGCUAAGGCUUAGGGAGGUUGAAGACCGGGUGAUAUAUUCUCCAACACCAAAAUGGAAUGAAGCUGAAGAUAAAGAGGAAGGAUGGAAAUGUGGAAACGACGAAGAUCCAGGAGACUUCUGUGGAAACUUCCAACCCAUUCUCUGUGCUGCCUGACAAAUGUGAGUCGACUAUGGGGAACGACAUGACGAACUACAUCAAGGAAGGUCGGAACAUUGUGCUUGUUGGGGACAGAUUAAGCACAUGGAAAAGGCUUUCUGCUUGGAGGACAGGAGUAAGAGACAGAGGGAUUGCUUUCUUGGGGCCAGGAUGGAUGAUAUUGUUAGCCGUCAUAACAUCACAAACAGUAAUAUGAUAAAUCCCAUUAUCUGCCUCAGUGCUGGAGGUAAUGAUGUCAGCAAGUAUGGAAGUGAAGAUUUAGGUACAACAAAUAUAGGACAGCAAUAGAUAUAGUUAGGAAGAAAGGAGGGUGAACUGUUAUAUGUGGCAUUUUGCCUAGAAGGAAUGAUGGAAAUGAAUAGCUGUCCAGAGCAAUUGGUAUUAAUUGUGGCAGGAUACUGUAAGAAUAAUGCAGUACCAUUCAUUGACAACUGGAACUACUUCUAUGGCAGAAAUGGCAUGUAUGCUAGGAAUUGGGUAUUCUUGUAUAGGGCUAGUGUAAGUGAUCCAUCUAGUUCAGUGGAGGGUGUUGUUGGGCUUGAAACUAUGAACUGUUAGAGGCAAAGGUUGUGGAAGGAAACAAAUGAUUGUGGAAAUACUGAUUAAGGCCUUCAUAUCCUAAAUUUUAGGAAUAACAAUCAUCACCUAACGCUGGGUAGAUAACAUAAAUUGUGGAAAAGCAAAAAUAACCAGGAAAAAGUGCAGAAGAUAAACAUCUUAACAUAAUUUACAGUAAUAGUCAAAGCUCCAAGAAAAAAACUUAGCCAUAAUACCAACUUACCUCAUAAUUUGUAAUAUUUUACAAUUAAGAAUAAAACUAAGUAUGCCCGAAAUGCCUAGCCAUGCUAAGCGUUCUAGUGGUAUACUCUGUAAUCACAAUUUUACUACAUGUAAACCAAACAAUAACCAAAUUUCUGUAAA